UUUAUAGUUAGCGUACUGCUUGGCGGUAACAGUGUCCUUCUUUGAUUCAGAUUACUGGAUACGCCGUCACUUGAACCUCGGCGGCCGGAGCAGGACUGUGGUUGCGGCCGUUUCGUUGCCAGCUGUGAGGAUGAAGCAGCUUCAUAACCGGAGAUCAGUCGCCUCCCAUCAGUUUCCCUUUUCAGCAAUAGAGGGUGCCUUUCUACCGGUGUUGCAUCCUGUGACUGACCACUCCAACGAUCUUGGCAGAAUCGUUACGCAGGAAGAAGUCCGGCUGGCCCCAAGCCUGGUGUGAAAUGAAGAAAUGGCACUCCACAUCAAUUCAUGUUUACUUGUCGUCAUAACCAGUCUGUUAGCUUAAUUUUUGGUUCUUCCUAUUGAAUUCUCAAGAAAGGUACCAACUCUGUCAUUCAUUGAAAACGAAUUUUUGCACUUGGGGACGCAGCCAUGCACAAAGCCUUUUAGCUCAUUAAUAUUUUUAUUCUUAAUGAAAGUGCAGCUCCUGCGUGGAGCAAUGGGUUGAAUAAGACGAGGGUAAUUGAAAAGAUGGCGACAUUAAUUGUCAACAGUUGUCCAACAAAAAAAAAGUCUCAAGCUGGAGCCAACAUCAUUGCAAGGAAACCAAAUGGCUCCAGCCUGAGACAUUCGUUGUUCAACCUGGCAAGUCUCCUUGUCGAAAUAUUUCCUCUAGCCUGAGACCUAUAUCCACCCUCGACCAACAAUACACCCAUACAUUUGGCAACCCAUGGCAAGGUAACAAAUUCACAUUCAAAGAAAGAGAACGUAGUGUGCACCCUGGAAGGUAGCAUGAACAGUAUUUUAUUUACUUAAUGAAAUGCAGGUUUGCUAUCCAACUACUUUAUUUCGAUCCCCAUUUUAUAACUGGACAGCAUGGUUCCUCAGAGAGAAUAUUUAUUCGAAGAUCACACAAUUUUGCUCCUGUAUGUCCGUUAAAUCUGUCCUGGUUGCUACACUACCAGCCCUGUCUGCAAUUGCAUAGCAGUGUUUUGAGUAUGCAUCCCAAUUCAAAAGAAUAGUUAGGCAUCUACCUCAGAAUGUCUGCUACUGCAUUGCAGCUUGAAUUCUAUAUCUAGGUGGUGACUGUGAUGCCAUGUGCUUUUUAAAUAAGACCAAUAUGCUAUCUGAAGUGCAAUUAAAUGCAAUCUCAAAUGACCUCAGCUCGGGGAAUGACAUGAUUGGAAACCAAUGUGAUCAGGAGGAUUUGAUUUCUGAAAACAAGGCACUUAAACAUGAGAAACCAGUACUAACCUCGUCUAAAGAUGCUGUUAUUGGGUAUGAUAGGGGAGUUACUUGUUCGUGGCUGCAUUUGCAGCAUGUUAGAUUGCUGGCUUUAUAUAUUGCACUGGGUACAGUGAAAUGUUGCUGUUUGCACAAUAUUCAACUAAACAUGGUAGCCAUGCUAAAGUGUCCAUGCAGAACACAACUCAUCCGCUAUUAAGGACUGCAGUGGAACCUUCAUAAACGAAAAUCGCUUAAGCGAAACUGCCGCUCAAACAGGACACCAUCCUGAUGGUUGGUUGGCUCUCUGCAAUGUCUCGCACUAAAUAGAAUGCCUGGUAAAUGGAACCAAUUUCCCUGGCCCCUUGAGGCUCCAUUCAAAGAGUGCCCACUGUAAAAAAUAUAGGGGGGAUCCUGUUCGGAACUUUCGCAAAUCUAGUCGUAAACAAAACUGCAUUUCAGUGGGAGUGAAAUGCAAAAGCACCCGUGUACUUCGAUUUAGGUGCAUGUUAAAGAACCCCAGGUUGUCCAAAUUAAUCCGGUGUUACUCGCUAUGGCACGUCUCAUAAUCAGCAGGUGGGUUCUGGUUUGUAAAAUACGGUUUAUUUUUAAUAGCCUGCUCGGAAAUACAGCCCAAUAACUACAUUAAAUUAUGUAGCUUGUUUGUGUGAGUCCCAAUUUCUUAAUUUAGUACUUUGACAUUUAUCAUAUUUGUGUGCUAGUCCAUGCAAAAUACCACUGAUCAGCCUCAUUAUACAAGCCACUGUUAAUUUAGAAUGGCUUAGUCAAGCAACUUAAACUUACAGCACAAACACCUAAGACGGACCACAAAAGGAACAUACGACACAUCGAGGCUAAUAACUUCUUUAUUUCUUCGUCGUCGAUGCAAUAUAAACCCUAGACCACACUACCGUGCAGGCAAUCAGAUUACAUUACAGAGAUCUGCCAAAUUAUCACAUAAGCAAACGUAGGAAGUCAAAUUCAGAUGGGUGCAGGGACAAAGAUAUCUCACUGAUGCAAUUAUCGCCUUGCCUUUUUAUGUGGUAGGCCUCUAUGGUAAGCCGCGCAUGCUCAUUCUUGCUUUUGCCUAGAAUCGACGUCCCGUCAAGUUGUGCCUCACAAUUGUUGCGAGAGUUUAUAUGCGCACCAAGGUGCGCUGCUCUAUCUACAUUGUUGUUUACUUUU